rnacentral:rRNA from 1 species
UACAGAGACUGCAAGCGUUAUUCGGAUUCACUGGGCGUAAAGGGUGCGCAGGCGGCCGUGUGUGUGAGGCGUGAAAGCCCGGGGCUUAACCCCGGAAUUGCACCUCAAACUACACGGCUAGAGCAUUGGAGAGGGUAGCAGAAUUCACGGUGUAGCAGUGAAAUGCGUAGAUAUCGUGAGGAACACCGGUGGCGAAGGCGGCGACCUGGGUCGACACUGACGCUGAGGCGCGAAAGCGUGGGGAGCAAACAGG